CCAGCUCUGAAACCUGUUUUUUGCAAGUUUAUUUGUGAAAAAAGAUUGCAAGACUUUUCUCUGAACUUGAAACACUAACUUCCUCCUGUUACCUGUUCCAGGUGUGAUCUCUGGCUGAUCUGAUCCAGACCUCUGUUUGUUGUGCAGAUUCCUUCCUGGACUAGGACUGAACGUGGCAGACUGUGUUCCUCUCCUGACUCUGUGCCUCUCCCUGGAAUGCAGGCUUCUUUUCUUGGUGGAAGAUGUUCUUCACCUUCAUACUUGUGCAGCUGCACUCUCAUCCACCUGCUUCCAAUGAUUAGGAAGCUCUGCACUGGUGGUGACAUGAUUCUAAAGCUCCGUACUCUACCACUAGGACCCUGCUCAGACCUGGUAUUAACAUGCUUCCUGAAUAAACCAGGUUUAAGUGAACAAAUAUACACCCCUGGCAUUAAAAUCCAUCCUAGGGGAUCAGAUCAAAGUUACCUGCUUUACAUGCAAACAAACACAGUGGCUGCAAGCUGAACAAUCAGCAGGUCUGAUGUUGCUGUAACAUCAUUGAUAUAUUAUCCACUUGAAGUUAUUAUUGAGGCAGUAACAUGGCUUAUGUUAAACUCUGGGGUAUUAUUCCAGCUACAAACUCUUUAUUAACUCACACGUGUAGCUUAACAGAUAUGCAAUCAGUAAAAUCCAGACUUGCAAAAGAUCAUUAUUUUUUUUUACUGAUGAAAACCGCAGUUAAAUUAGAUUUUUAAUUUGACAAUAGCAGUGCUAAUUCUGACAACAGCUGUUUCCAGAGGUUUAUUUUUAUAUCUUUUCUUUUAACCAUCCAGAUAACUGUUUCUUGAGAAAAGUCCCAUCAUGGGAAUGGGUGGGUCUUUCAUGGUGUCCCAGGACAGAUUGCAUCCUGGCUUCCCACUUAGUACGAAAACAAGUGCACCAGGCUAUUGAAGAAAACAGUUCUCAAAGCAUCCUGGGUGCAUUCAAACUUGUGUUUAGCUCUUUCUUGACACAAUUGGAUCACUCAGAAUCCAUGUUAGUGCCAUUUGUGAACGGGGUCUAGAAGACAAUGAUUACAAGCACAUUUGUCUAUCUUUUAUAGCAAUGAAUCUGCUUUUCUUUGGGUAUUUCUGCCAAAAACCUUUUUUGACAUGACUACACUAAAAUGAAGUUAGUUGGUUAUUUUCAUGCAAAAAUAGUGAAAUGGGGUUUUGUUAUACUUUACUUAAACUUUUAAAGCAAAUGCCCUUUAUGGUGAAGUACCCUGCCUGCGACCACAAAGUUUCACCAAGAGAACCUUCUACAAAAAAAGAAUAAAAAAACUGAACUCAAGUGAUUGUUUAGAUAUUAUCUUGAUCAUAUGCAUGAUAAUAAUGCAGGUCAUGUGAAGUUUUAAAGCUGAAAUAAUCAAGAUUUUCAGCAAGAAAUACUUCUGUAUUUUCUCAUCUGUCACAAAAAACUUCUCCAUAAAUUAUCAACAGACAGUUUUAGAAGUUACCACUUUUCUUGCACAGUCCAAAAACAGGACUAUAUAAAUAGAGUUAUAACAGGCAUUUUAUUUACUUAAUAGUUUCUUGUGUGUUCUCAGAGUACUCAGGCUUCUUCUUACAGUCAAAACACACCACAGGGUAACGUUUAAUUACCUAACAAUAUUUGUUUUGGAUUUAGCCAUGUCUUUUGUGGUUCGCUGCCUUUGGCUAAAGAAUAAUGAUCCAUUCAUCUCUAGGUGGAGCGUUUUAUGUUUUCCCUGUUUUCUCCAGGUACAUUCAUGUCCUUGCAUAGGCCAAAUACAUACAAAUAAAAAAGAACAUGUAUUUUUACA